CAAGCCACGGUUUAUUAGAAAAACACCAUUUUUUUAAGAGGGUUUUUUCAGCUGAAGCCAACGUCUUCUCUCUCCAGUGCCAUUACCUCCUCAAACACCCUACUGGUAAGUAAAAAAAAAUAAAAUUAUAACAGGAGCUGACUGCUAUGAUCUCCAACUGAAAUAGAUUGAUAUCAGUUAACUCUACUGAAAUAACCGAUUUUAAAAUCCAUAUUAGAACACCAUUGUGUUUAUUUCCUGCAAUGAAUACUACUUAUUUACAUUUACACUAGUAAUCCACUUUACAUCCUCAAUGUCAGCAGUUUAAAACCACCAAUUAGUAUACAAUUACUUUAUAUUUAAGGCAUGUAAGUAAGAGCACCCUAAUUAACUGACAUUGAAUGGAAAAGACUUCUCUUCAGGAAAUUUUUGUCAGCUGCCUUCUCUUCUUUAAAGAUGCUAAAUUAAUAUGGUUUUGGAAAGACAGUAAGAAGGAGAAAGGAAGAAAGUUAAGAACCGAUCUGAUUAUUUCAGCUGCCUCUGGAACAAUUUUGAAAGCAAUGAUUUAUCAGUAAUACCUCAUCUAUAAUGUAUUCUGACCAAGUCACAUAAUAUGCCAGUUGGGCUUAUCACUAGAUGAAAACUAAAAAAAAAAAAAAAAAAGAAGAAAA